CCUACGGGAGGCAGCAGUGAGGAAUAUUGGUCAAUGGACGAGAGUCUGAACCAGCCAAGUAGCGUGAAGGAUGACUGCCCUAUGGGUUGUAAACUUCUUUUAUAUGGGAAUAAAAUGUUCCACGUGUGGGAUUUCGUAUGUACCAUAUGAAUAUGGAUCGGCUAACUCCGUGCCAGCAGCCGCGGUAAUACGGAGGAUCCGAACGUUAUCCGGAUUUAUUGGGUUUAAAGGGAGCGUAGGUGGAUUGUUAAGUCAGUUUUGAAAGUUUGCGGCUCAAACGUAAAAUUGCAGUUGAAAAUGGCAGUCUUGAGUACAGUAGAGGUGGGCGGAAUUCGUGGUGUAGCGGUGAAAUGCUUAGAUAUCACGAAGAACUCCGAUUGUGAAGGCAGCUUACUAAACUGUGACUGACAUUGAUGCUCGAAAGUGUGGGUAUCAAACAGGAUUAGAUACCCUUGUAGUC
rnacentral:rRNA from 1 species